UACGUAGGGGGCGAGCGUUAAUCGGAAUUACUGGGCGUAAAGCGUGCGCAGGCGGUUCGUCGUGUCCGAUGUGAAAGCCCCGGGCUCAACCUGGGAAUGGCAUUGGAAACUGGCGGACUCGAGUGUGGCAGAGGGGGGUGGAAUUCCGCGUGUAGCAGUGAAAUGCGUAGAGAUGCGGAGGAACACCGAUGGCGAAGGCAGCCCCCUGGGCUAACACUGACGCUCAGGCACGAAAGCGUGGGGAGCAAACAGG
rnacentral:rRNA from 1 species